AUUGAACGCUGGCGGCAUGCUUUACACAUGCAAGUCGAACGGCAGCGCGGGCUUCGGCCUGGCGGCGAGUGGCGAACGGGUGAGUAAUGCAUCGGAACGUGCCCAGUAGUGGGGGAUAGCCCGGCGAAAGCCGGAUUAAUACCGCAUACGACCUGAGGGUGAAAGCGGGGGACCGAAAGGCCUCGCGCUAUUGGGGCUGCCGAUGUCGGAUUAGCUAGUUGGGGGGGUAAAGGCUUACCAAGGCGACGAUCCGUAGCUGGUCUGAGAGGACGACCAGCCACACUGGACUGAGACACGGCCCAGACUCCUACGGGAGGCAGCAGUGGGGAAUUUUGGACAAUGGGGGCAACCCUGAUCCAGCCAUGCCGCGUGCGGGAAGAAGGCCUUCGGGUUGUAAACCGCUUUUGUUCGGGAAGAAAUCCUCUGGGCUAAUACCCCGGGGGGAUGACGGUACCGGAAGAAUAAGCACCGGCUAACUACGUG
rnacentral:rRNA from 1 species